rnacentral:rRNA from 1 species
AUACGAAAGGUGCAAGCGUUGUUCGGAUUUACUGGGCGUAAAGAGAGUGUAGGUUGUUUAUUAAGUCGGAUGUGAAAUCCCGGGGCUCAACCUCGGAACUGCAUUCGAUACUGGUAGACUAGAGUUCGGGAGGGGUAAGCGGAAUUCCGUGUGUAGCAGUGAAAUGCGUAGACAUACGGAGGAACACCUGAGGCGAAGGCGGCUUACUGGACCGAUACUGACACUGAGACUCGAAAGCGUGGGUAGCAAACAGGAUUAGAAACCCUAGUAGUCC